AGCGAACGCUGGCGGCAGGCCUAACACAUGCAAGUCGAACGAACUCUUCGGAGUUAGUGGCGGACGGGUGAGUAACACGUGGGAACGUGCCUUUUGGUUCGGAAUAACUCAGGGAAACUUGUGCUAAUACCGAAUGUGCCCUUCGGGGGAAAGAUUUAUCGCCCUUAGAGCGGCCCGCGUCUGAUUAGCUUGUUGGUUAGGUAACGGCUCACCAAGGCGACGAUCAGUAGCUGGUCUGAGAGGAUGACCAGCCACACUGGGACUGAGACACGGCACAGACUCCUACGGGAGGCAGCAGUGGGGAAUCUUGCGCAAGGGGCGAAAGCCUGACGCAGCCAUGCCGCGUGAAUGAUGAAGGUCUUAGGAUUGUAAAAUUCUUUCACCGGGGACGAUAAUGACGGUACCCGGAGAAGAAGCCCCGGCUAACUUCGUG
rnacentral:rRNA from 1 species